GUCCUGUUGUCGAGUAGUAGCGCCGAUCGAAUAGUACAAGUAACCUCAACAAUCUGGAAUGAUGGUUAUUGUAUAAUACUCAUUCUCAGCACAAAAGGGUGAAGGGGGGAGUGUUGUGCAGAACGCACCGCGGUCUCUCCCGUCCUCUCCGUGGGGGUUUGUGCAGAACGCACACAACGGAAACUUUCCUCCCCGGUGGAACGUUACUUGUCCGCGAGGCUCAACCCUCCUCCCGACUCACGCAGCAGCAGCAGCAGUAGCAGCCAGCAGCAAGAGCGGGUGGAAUGUUGGUCUGCCUUCCAAGUCCACUGAUUUGUUCCAACGACAAGCAGAAACCCCGCAUUCAUACGCAAUUACCGAACACAAAAAAAACACUCUUCCCGCCAGUGGACGUCUAGAAACUCUGGUGGAACGCCAACGUUUUAAGCCCCAGCGCGCACUGCCCGCUCUCGGCUACACAGCCACCGAGCACGAGCCGUGACCUCAUAACGGGACCACGCCCACCACCGAGAAGACCCUUCGUUCCCAUUGGACAGCGGCGGAAUGCGGCUGAGGGCGCAGGUGUGGAAUGUUGGGAGAGGGAGCGAAAGAGAGCGAGAGAGGCAUACUGACAGGGAUUGAGAGAUUGAGGAAGACACACAUUGAAACCGUUAUGGACGACAUCCAUGCUCUUCUUAAAGUCACAUUUUCUGCAAUGCCUCUUUCUCUACCUCUAUCCUUGCCGUGUGUGUGUGUGUGUGUGUGUUAUAAAUUAUGAUCCUUCCUAAAUCUAGUGUUAUCAAAGCUCAACAACUUUUAAGUCCUAAGUU
ensembl:lncRNA